UAGGAGUUUAUAAGAAUCCAUGUCUGAGGGGAACUUACAGUCUUUAGAACAGUUUAGAUGGUAUUCCAAUUUCUGUUCCUCUUGCCUCU